GAUGAAUAACGCAGCGAACUGCGAUAAGUAAUGUGAAUUGCAGAAUUCAGUGAAUCAUCGAGUCUUUGAACGCACAUUGCGCCCCCUGGCAUUCCGGGGGGCAUGCCUGUCCGAGCGUCAUUGCUGCCCUUCAAGCCCGGCUUGUGUGUUGGGUCGUCGUCCCCCCCGGGGGACGGGCCCGAAAGGCAGCGGCGGCACCGCGUCCGGUCCUCGAGCGUAUGGGGCUUUGUCACCCGCUCGAUUAGGGCCGGCCGGGCGCCAGCCGGCGUCUCCAACCUUCUAUUUUACCAGGUUGACCUCGGAUCAGGUAGGGAUACCCGCUGAACUUAAGCAUAUCAAUAAGCGGAGGA
rnacentral:misc_RNA from 1 species